rnacentral:rRNA from 1 species
GAUGAACGCUGGCGGCGUGUCUAAGGCAUGCAAGUCUAUCGUGUUACCUUCGGGUAACGCGAGGCAAACGGGAGAGUAACACAUUGGUAACCUACCUUGAGGACGAGAAUAACCCGGAGAAAUCCGGGAUAAUACUCGAUAUAAGCGGGGGGACACAAGUCAUUCCCACUUAAAGUUCCGACGCCUCAAGAGGGGCCUAUGGCUUAUCAGCUUGUUGGUGAGGUAAAAGCUCACCAAGGCUACGACGAGUAACGGGUGUGAGAGCAUGACCCGUCUCACUGGGACUGAGACACUGCCCAGACUCCUACGGGAGGCUGCAGUCGAGAAUCUUCCACAAUGCCCGCAAGGGUGAUGGAGCGACGCCGCGUGUAUGAAGACGCCCUUCGGGGUGUAAAAUACUUUUAUUAGGGACGAAACAAUGACGGUACCAAAUGAAUAAGGGGCUGCUAACCUCGUGCCAGCAGCAGCGGUAAUACGGGGGCCCCGAGCGUUAUCCGGAUUUAUUGGGCGUAAAGGGUCCGUAGGUGGUUUUGUGCAUCUCCUGUUAAAUCUAUCGGCUCAACCGAUAGGCUGCGGGAGAGAUGGCAAGACUAGAGAUCGGAAGAGGCAAGCGGAAUUGUCGGUGUAGGGGUUAAAUCCGUUAAUAUCGACAGGAACACCAAAUGCGAAGGCAGCUUGCUAGAACGAAUCUGACACUCAUGGACGAAAGCGUGGGGAGCGAAUGGGAUUAGAUACCCCAGUAGUCCACGCCGUAAACGAUGGAUGCUAAACAUUGGAAGUAUCGACCCUUCCAGUGUUGUUCACUUAAGCUAACGCCUUAAGCAUCCCGCCUGGGGAGUACGAGCGCAAGCUUAAAACUCAAAGGAAUAGACGGGGACCCGCACAAGCGGUGGAGCAUGUGGUUUAAUUCGACGAUAAGCGAGGAACCUCACCUAGGUUUGACAUUUAGCUGCAGACUCCUGGAAACAGGAGAGCCUUCGAGGGUGCUAAACAGGCGCUGCAUGGUUGCCGUCAGCUCGUGUCGUGAGAUGUACCGUUAAGUCGGGCAACG